AUUUAAGUUUGAUUUGAUUUCACGAACUCUCGAAUUCAUUUUUUCGUUUAAUUUUCACUUUGCGCCUCCAUUGAUGGGCUUUUUCGUUUCUUGAAUCUCUGCGUUUGACUGCAAAAGAUUUGGAAUUUUCACGCGGGAAAAGAGAACUGUGUUCAAAAAAUUUAUUGUUAAAUUUGUAAAUUAUGUCCUUCUAAAAUAUAUAUGACCAUAAGUAUUUUAAGUUUAUUUAAGAGUGUUGAUGAUAUGAAAAUUCGUAUCAGUUCUCGUGGAAGUGAAGCUGAGCGGCAUUCAAGGUCAUUAAUUUUUUCCGGUUUCGAUUAGAGCGGAGCCGAACUACGUUACUUGAGGCUAUAAAAACUACUACCCAAAAAGUUUCAUAAAGAAAUUUAUACCGUAUUAAAUAAUAACAUAAUAAAAAUAUAUGUAUAUGUAUAUAUUACACUACAAUCUGAUAAUACGCGACUUCAGACGCUUGGCUCACUCUCACGUAAAUUGAAAUUUUCUCUGCAAUUAUAAAUGAGACAAAAAUAUCGCUCGUAAGUAGAUUGUACUGUACAAUAAAAUAACUUAAUUGUCUUGUCACUUUUAAUUUCCAUGUGACUAAGGCAAAUAAAAACUAUCUUCCCAUACGGUUAGUGUAUGAGAACCUUGAUAUUACUUAGAGUGGGGAUCUACCAUCCGUAAAGCAGACAGAAAAAAAAAUGGGAGCCGUAUCAUGUCUCCCAUGGACGAACCUAUGACGUCACUUACUGCGGAAAUACAUCAAUUUAUACAUUUAGCAUUGUCAACCAACAUGUCAAGUAUUCAAAGCAUCUCAGGCUUAUGAAUAUUACAACCAUGCUAAAAACGACCGCAGUAACACAUUCCUUUUAAAUAUACUACUAGUUUUUGACAAUAUCGAAGAAAAUCCAGAAUCCAACGAAAUCCGCCAUACCAAUAAAAUCUUACAAGAUUUAAAUACCGCCGCCAAAAGUUUCAAUCAAUUAAAUGAUCCUAAAAUAAAAUUACAUAUUGCCGGACUUAUUAAAUGGAAGGUUCGGUGUUAAUGAAGAUGAUGUACUCCAGUGUGGAUCAGGCCAUAUAAUGGAUUAUCAGACGAUAGGAAAUAGUUUGACCACGGUAACUACUCGGUCGUGGUCAAACUGUUCACAAUUAGCAUUUCAGUCCAUACCUAGUGCACCUGAAUAUUCAUGUUAUAAAAUGCCAGCUUUCAAGCCGGAUAGUGAAGAAGACGAUUAUCAGUAGCCCUACGACUCAAUGUUCCUUUGGUUCAUGCAAUUCAUACCUUUCAAAUCAAUAAUUAUAAUGUACAAGCUUAAGAAAAGUUUUUUUUUUUGUUUUAAUGUAUUGUGAAAAUCACAAUAAAGAAACUACCAAGAAUUUAAAUGAUUAAGGUACCUGCAGGUAAUAAGGCUUGUCGGGUAAUAAGACCUAUUUGACAGAAAUGAUAUUUAAAAUAACCGCCUCAGCUAAAGGCUACUCUAGUAAAAGGGUCUUGCAUAGAGAUGUUACGACAAGUUUAUAGAGCCCCGAGACCAGGUUUCUUGUCUUCUAUAUUUCAUCAUCCGUCAUAUGAUGUCGUAGUGCAGAAGAAAUUAUAAAAAACAAUCUAGACUUCUGACUCUUAAAAAGGAUACUGAUAGUUUUAAGUGUUGUUGAAAAAAACAAUCUAGUCUUCUGUCUUUAAAAAAGUAUUGUGAUGAUUCAUCUCUACACUGUGAAAAAUCCGGAGUGAACUCGGAUUAGAAUUAAAUGCGAAUUCACUCCGCAUUCACUCCGCCACUCGGAGUUCCGGAGUUUUAAAAAAAAAUCACUCCGCAUGCGGAGUGAAUUGGGAGUUUAUUUUUGGCGGAGUAACCUCGGAGUGACGUGGAUUUUAUUUCACUCCCAAUUCACUCCGGUCCGGCGUUUUAAUACUUAAAUAAAUUUAUGUUAUUUUAUAUUAAACUGCUAAACAAUGUGUGUGUGUGUGUGCGAGUGUGUGUUUGCGUGCAUGUGUGUGUUUAGGUGUGUGCAGUUGUUUGUGUGCGUGUGUGCGAAUGUGUGCUUGUGUGUGUUCGGCUGUGUGCAAAUGUGUGCGUGUGUGUGCAAAUGUGUGCGUGUGUGAAAAUGUGUGCGUGUGUGUGCAAAUGUGUGCGUGUGUGUGUGUUUGUGCGAGUGCGCGUGUGUGUCUAAAUAUGUGUGGGCGUAUCAACUGAUCAAUAAUGUAAUACGCGAGUUUUUACUUCAAUUUUAUUGAGUGGAGCAAUUUUUUAUAAAUAAUAUUUUCAAAACUCCACUCCGGAGUGAAUUUCACUCCGAGGGGAGUGAAUAAUUAAAAAUUCAUUCACUUCGGAUUUAAUCCGCAUUCACUCCACGAAUUUUUUACAGUGUAAUACCAAUUUUAUUAAGUAUACUUAAACUAUUCCAGUUUGUUUAACCCGUAGGCCUUAUUACCCUUCCGUAGUAAAAUAAGGCCUAUUCGUAUAGAUUUUGUAAAAGUUCAGUUUUUUAUUUGUUUGUAGUAUAGAUUACCAUUACUUCAUUAUAUUUUAUGGCUAAUGUAUUGAAAUAAAGAUUUAUGAUACAUUUCGAUAAUUAAAUGCAAUACUUUCGAUUGUAUUCAAAAUCUCCCUUAGCUAGGCUUUAUAACCCGCCGGUACUCUUUAGACUUAGAUUUCUUUCAUUUCUGUUUUACCAUUAAGUCACAAUUUAAUCUCUACUUUAUCAACAAUAAACUGUAGCUGAAACAGUUGACACCUAACAUACCUCUGUUUAUUUGAAAACCAAGUACACUUCCCAGAUAGCCAGAGUUGUAGUAUAACUAGUUGUACUUCAACAGUUAACAUCAAGUCAAGUUAAACUUUGCGUUAACUAUUUCAUUUGUAACUGUUAUCCGCAAACUGCGUUCAAUUCGCUCUUAAAGUUAACGCGAAUCUAUUGCCGGAAUUCAACCAUAAGUUUAGGUGGAAAAGUUGUAUAGUAACUACAAAUGUGAAGUUGCGGAUGAAUUAUUGUUAGAAGUUGGCAUUAUUUUAUUUUCUAUACUUUGAAUAGCAACUGUUAAAGUGAAGUUACAUGUAUUUUUACUCAUUAUUUAAGACAUAAGGUAUUUUAUAAAAAUAACGUCAAGUUGACAUUUGCUACUAACCUAAAAAAAACUGCAGCUGAAAUACUGUAAAGUUCAAAAUUUGCAAUAAAUUAUUUAAAAAACAAAAAAAUAUACAUUGUGUUUUGAAAUUUGUUCUAUGUAGAUUUGUACAUAAUUAAAAUUAAUUUAUUAUUAAAUUAAUAAAUUAAAAAAUUUAUUAUUUUUAAAUCCAAGAAUUGAUUAUUUAUAAAUAGUAAUUUUUAUAAUGUGCUCAUCAGGGUUGUAGUUGAUUGAUUCAAAAAAUUAUGUUAAUUUAUGACAUGCAUGUAAAUUAAUCGCUAUGUAGCAAAAAGAGUAGAAAAAACAAUGAACUAUCAACAAACAACAAUUUAAUGUAAUCGUAAUAUCAUACAAUUGUCAACAUAAUCAUUACAUAUUGUAUGACGUGAAGACCUGUGAUUUUCCUCCAUCGAGCUGUGAUGCUUAAGAGUUACUCAAAUUAUUCCUUGGCUGUUCACGUAAUAAAUUUUCGAAAAGCACUUACGGCAGCGUGUGCUCGAGUAAAUAAAAGUGCAGAUAGCUCGGGUGAAGAAACGGUGGAUCAAGACGGUAAAGAAAAUGAAAGUCAGUCGAGAAGUGAAAAGAAAAACGGGAAAAAGAAAGGCAAAAGAAUUACUUUAAAAAAUGUUCAUUUAUAUUCCAAAAGUGCUGAUCAGCCUGUGAUUGAUCCAUCUGUCACUGAGUGAUAAUAAUUUUUAUUUCUUAUUGUUUAUCAUGAAACUUAAUUGUAUCGUUUUCUUUUUAUAAUAUCACUAGUUAUUUAUUGUUUAUUAUCGUUGUGUAGGUUUGAAAACCAUAAGUAAUUGACGUACUGUAAGUUGGUUAAUGUGCUCCCUGGCGAUUUUAGCGCCACGGUGACCUUACAGUAAAAACACCGUUAAAACACCGUGGAACGACUGUGAAAACGUGGUUGUAAUGCAGUGAAAUCACGGUAUUUUUUGUGCAGUCACGCCACUGUAUUCCGACCGCGUUUCCAUUGCACUUAAAGAGUGUUUCCACGGUGUUUCGAUCGUAAGGUCACAGUAAUCUCACGGUGGUUUUACGGUGAAACCACCGUAAAACUACGGUGCGCUCCACAGUGGUUUUCAGCGAUAUCCACGGUGAGUUUACAACGGCUUUCCGAUGGCUUGACAGUUUUUUAACCAUGAAUUCACCGUAUUUCCACAGUCAGCUCAUCGUUUCAUGAUGCGUCCAUAAAUUUUAUAGCGAAAAAAAAAAAAAAAAAAAUUAACGCCUACUCGGAGGAUCGAUCCCAGCGCCUUCGCAUUCAAAGUCUGAUCUGCUAUCCACUGUGCCAAAUCACACCCUUGAUUGUGGGGAUUGAUUGUAUUUAUAUAAGCACAAAUGAACUUUAGAAAAUUAAAGAUAUUUAAUAAAUGAUUGAUUUUCUGAUUUGUAUUACAUUCAAUUAUAUAAUUGUUUAUAGGGUAACGAGACCAAUACCGGUAUACCCACUAGUAGCGGGGCAAUAAAUACUUUUUUUGGUAAAUUAUGUAAAUGAGAAGUUAAAAUUUUUCAAACUUAACCAUACAAUAUUUUAAAUUUGAAAUCUAAGUUUUUUAUAACUAAAUUCAUUAUUCAAACAUCGAAAUGUCCUUAACUAUCUCACUAAUGAUCUUAUUAGCUUAUUUUCAAAAAUUUUAAAAAAGUUUGCGUACUUUACAACAUUUAUGAAUGCGGUAAAUUGAAAAAUUUCAUAGACUUUAUAAGAUUUAUGAAUCAUUGUAAAAUCAUUUUUUUCGAAUAAUGUUACAUUAUUUAGUCGUAUCUAAAGUAUAUUACAAAAUAUAAUGAUUCACAAACCUGCGCGGCAUAUUUACUCAGAAAUCGCUAUUAAAUAGAAUUUGCUAGAACUCAAUUAUAUAAAAUUUUGCAUUAUUGAAUAAAAACAAAAUUCACUUCGGGACUAGAAAAAUUUUUUGACGCAAUAACAUUUUAUUUUCGCCUAAAAAAAUUUUUUCUUGAAUUCAGAAAAUUCUUUGUCGCCACAAAAAAAUUUUUGUUUUCAAUUCAUUAUGCUUAGAUUUCUUUAGGGCAAGUCAAAAUUUUCUUGGGGUGAGUGCAACUUUUUGGCGCCAAGAAAUUCCUUUUUUCUGUGUACUCAUAUUGAUAAGAUAACUUAAAAUGAUAAGCUUUGUUCAUUUUAAUAAUUUAACAAUACACUUUAGAAAAGAUAAUUAUCAAAAGUACUGAGAAAAUAAGAAAAUAUGAUUGACAGAGAUUUGGAAACUAUAAGAAAAAAAUAUAUCAAUGGUGAAGACACCAUGAAAUCAUCGUGAAAACAACGAGGAAAUACUGAACUACCACAGAGAAAACACUGAAAAAUCCACGCGAAAAUACUGUGAGGCCAUCGUGGGACCACCGUGAGCUCACCGUGGAAAUUACUGCCAACCACUGUGAAACCACUAUGAAAACACUGGAAAUUCACCGUCAGAACACUGUGAACUCGCUUUCGAAACACCCUUAAACCACCGUAAAAACACAGUGUGGACUCGGUCGGUACAUAGUAGCGUGACUGCACAGAAACCACCGUAAAUUCACCGUCGAAUCUCCGCCGCUUCACUGUCAAAACACGGAAGACGUGUUUUCACGGUAAAAACACCGUAAUUCGACCGU